rnacentral:rRNA from 1 species
UACGUAGGUGGCAAGCGUUGUCCGGAUUUACUGGGUGUAAAGGGAACGCAGGCGGUCUUUUAAGUCUGAUGUGAAAGCCUUCGGCUUAACCGGAGUAGUGCAUUGGAAACUGGGAGACUUGAGUGCAGAAGAGGAGAGUGGAACUCCAUGUGUAGCGGUGAAAUGCGUAGAUAUAUGGAAGAACACCAGUGGCGAAAGCGGCUCUCUGGUCUGUAACUGACGCUGAGGUUCGAAAGCGUGGGUAGCAAACAGG